AUUGCAAAUGAAGCUGGUGCUUCUCCGCCUGAGACUGCGCGAGCUCAGCCAAUCUACCAACGAGAUCGGACUGAAGCUGCGCGUCCUGAGAUUCAAGCGACGCGAAAUCGCGAGAGAGCGAGAGGUACUUCUGCUCGAGAAGCGAGCACGUCUGCUCCGCCGUGAUGGAAGCGGCGUCGGCCUUGGCGCGGACACUGUCCAGCUCGGCGUAGAGCUUGCGGAUGUACUCGUCGGCUCUCUCGGCGACCACCGACGCGGCGUCGCUGGAGAGCCGCGCGAGCUCGUCGUCGGGCAUCGUUCGAAAGUCCAUGAGCUCUUUCUCCUGAGAUAGACGACUGCACAUAGCUUGCGAACGCGCCAACUCUGCUCCUGCUUCAGCAUAUCUAGACUCCUUCUCCGAAUUGGCGUCAGUGAGCUUAACCUGAUAAUAAAUUAACCAAUCUAUUACGGUUCAAACUUUAUUAGUAAAAAAAAAAAACAGAGAAGCAGCAUCAUUACUCACGAUUUUAUCCAGAUAACUCUUUAUAUUCGAAUUCUUCUCGCUAAUCUCAGCAUCCUUCUGCUCCAGCAACUCCAUGAGCUGCCUCUUGGACUUGUGAAGCUCAGACAUCUCCAUCGUCAUCCUCUCUAACUCUCCAUCCUUCUCAAUCUACAUCAUCAAAACAAGUAAACUCCGUCAAAUCACACGAAAACACUCAAAACCACCACACGAAAUCACAAGGACGUUACCGAUUGCAAAUGAAGCUGGUGCUUCUCCGCCUGAGACUGCGCGAGCUCAGCCAAUCUACCAACGAGAUCGGACUGAAGCUGCGCGUCCUGAGAUUCAAGCGACGCGAAAUCGCGAGAGAGCGAGAGGUACUUCUGCUCGAGAAGCGAGCACGUCUGCUCCGCCGUGAUGGAAGCGGCGUCGGCCUUGGCGCGGACACUGUCCAGCUCGGCGUAGAGCUUGCGGAUGUACUCGUCGGCUCGCUCGGCGACCA
rnacentral:lncRNA from 1 species